ACUCCUACGGGAGGCAGCAGUGGGGAAUAUUGGACAAUGGGCGCAAGCCUGAUCCAGCCAUGCCGCGUGAGGGAUGAAGGCCCUAGGGUUGUAAAGCUCUUUCACCGGUGAAGAUAAUGACGGUAACCGGAGAAGAAGCCCCGGCUAACUUCGUGCCAGCAGCCGCGGUAAUACGAAGGGGGCUAGCGUUGUUCGGAUUUACUGGGCGUAAAGCGCACGUAGGCGGACUAUUAAGUCAGGGGUGAAAUCCCGGGGCUCAACCCCGGAACUGCCUUUGAUACUGGUAGUCUUGAGUUCGAGAGAGGUGAGUGGAAUUCCGAGUGUAGAGGUGAAAUUCGUAGAUAUUCGGAGGAACACCAGUGGCGAAGGCGGCUCACUGGCUCGAUACUGACGCUGAGGUGCGAAAGCGUGGGGAGCAAACAGGAUUAGAUACCCCAGUAGUCCCAUGAU
rnacentral:rRNA from 1 species